rnacentral:rRNA from 1 species
CCCUUAGAUGUUCUGGGCCGCACGCGCGCUACACUGACGAAUGCAACGAGCUUAUAACCUCGGCCGAAAGGUCUGGGUAAUCUCCAAAUUUCGUCGUGAUGGGGAUAGAUUAUUGCAAUUAUUAAUCUUCAACGAGGAAUGCCUAGUAAGCGCAAGUCAUCAGCUUGCGUUGAUUACGUCCCUGCCCUUUGUACACACCGCCCGUCGCUCCUACCGAUUGAAUGGUCCGGUGAAGCGUUCGGACCGUGGCCUUUGGACGGUUCGCCGUCUGUUGGCUGCGGGAAGUUCGUUAAACCUUAUCAUUUAGAGGAAGGAGAAGUCGUANCA